GAUGAACGCUGGCGGCGUGCCUAAUACAUGCAAGUCGAGCGAACGGACGAGAAGCUUGCUUUUCUGAUGUUAGCGGCGGACGGGUGAGUAACACGUGGAUAACCUACCUAUAAGACUGGGAUAACUUCGGGAAACCGGAGCUAAUACCGGAUAAUAUUUUGAACCGCAUGGUUCAAAAGUGAAAGACGGUCUUGCUGUCACUUAUAGAUGGAUCCGCGCUGCAUUAGCUAGUUGGUAAGGUAACGGCUUACCAAGGCAACGAUGCAUAGCCGACCUGAGAGGGUGAUCGUCCACACUGGAACUGAGACACGGUCCCGACUCCUACGGGAGGCAGCAGUAGGGAAUCUUCCGCAAUGGGCGAAAGCCUGACGGAGCAACGCCGCGUGAGUGAUGAAGGUCUUCGGAUCGUAAAACUCUGUUAUUAGGGAAGAACAUAUGUGUAAGUAACUGUGCACAUCUUGACGGUACCUAAUCAGAAAGCCACGGCUAACUCCGUG
rnacentral:rRNA from 1 species